rnacentral:rRNA from 1 species
UACGUAGGGGCCGAGCGUUGUCCGGAGUACUGGGCGUAAAGCGUGCGCAGGCGGCGCGUUCUGCCCGGCGUGAAAGCCCCCGGCUCAACCGGGGAAGGUCGUCGGGGACGGGCGCGCUUGAGGGCGGCAGGGGCUGGUGGAACUCCCGGUGUAGUGGUGAAAUGCGUAGAGAUCGGGAAGAACACCUGUGGCGAAGGCGGCCAGCUGGGCCGACCCUGACGCUGAGGCACGAAGGCGUGGGGAGCGAACGGG